GAUUGGCUCAGAACGAACGCUGGCUCCGUGCCUAACACAUGCAAGUCGUGCGCGAAAGCCCCCGCAAGGGGGUAAGUAGAGCGGCCAACGGGUGAGUAACACGUGGGUGACCUACCUUCGAGUGGGGGAUAACAAUCCGAAAGGAUUGCUAAUACCGCAUGACAUCCUGUCCUUUGACGGAUGGAGAUCAAAGCCGGGGAUCGUAAGACCUGGCGCUUGGAGAGGGGCCCGCGUUCGAUUAGCUAGUUGGUGAGGUAACGGCUCACCAAGGCGACGAUCGAUAGCCGGCCUGAGAGGGCGGACGGCCACACUGGGACUGAGACACGGCCCAGACUCCUACGGGAGGCAGCAGUGGG
rnacentral:sRNA from 1 species